GGCAAGGGGACCGUGCCCUGCCCAGGGGCGGGCAGCACCCACAGACCCAGCAGCGCCUGGGUUUCUACCUGGCUUUCCGCAUCCGACAGCCUCCACAAGGCCCCAGUGAAUGCUGAGAAGCCUUUCUCGCCCUCCCCACUCAACCUAACACCAAAUGAAGGACAUACAAGUCUUCUAAUUCAAUAAUCCGGUUUCAAGCCCAAAAGCAAGAAUAACCGAUAAGCCAGGAGGAAUUGUCGAG
rnacentral:lncRNA from 1 species